AAGGAUCAUUAACACGUAUCCACGUUAAUCACCCGAGAACUUCUUAGGAACAGAGUCCUUGUGACUCUCUCCUUUGAUUUUUCAAUAGCUUUGAAGAAUGAACAAAGGGACUUAACCUGAGCUUGCUCAUGGUUAUUGAACCUUUUUCAAUCUUUUCUGUUAUUGAAGCCUUUAGGGGACAAAUCUUCGGAUGAGACCCCUAAAGGUUACUUGAAACCCCUUUUUUCUAACUUAAAGGCCGUCCCUUUGUGGACCGCUUUUAACCGAAUGCUGUACAACUCUUAGCAACGGAUAUCUUGGUUCUG
rnacentral:misc_RNA from 1 species